AGUCGAGCGGACAGAAGGGAGCUUGCUCCCGGAUGUUAGCGGCGGACGGGUGAGUAACACGUGGGUAACCUGCCUGUAAGACUGGGAUAACUCCGGGAAACCGGAGCUAAUACCGGAUAGUUCCUUGAACCGCAUGGUUCAAGGAUGAAAGACGGUUUCGGCUGUCACUUACAGAUGGACCCGCGGCGCAUUAGCUAGUUGGUGGGGUAAUGGCUCACCAAGGCGACGAUGCGUAGCCGACCUGAGAGGGUGAUCGGCCACACUGGGACUGAGACACGGCCCAGACUCCUACGGGAGGCAGCAGUAGGGAAUCUUCCGCAAUGGACGAAAGUCUGACGGAGCAACGCCGCGUGAGUGAUGAAGGUUUUCGGAUCGUAAAGCUCUGUUGUUAGGGAAGAACAAGUGCGAGAGUAACUGCUCGCACCUUGACGGUACCUAACCAGAAAGCCACGGCUAACUACGUGCCAGCAGCCGCGGUAAUACGUAGGUGGCAAGCGUUGUCCGGAAUUAUUGGGCGUAAAGGGCUCGCAGGCGGUUUCUUAAGUCUGAUGUGAAAGCCC
rnacentral:rRNA from 1 species